rnacentral:rRNA from 1 species
ACUCAAAGGAAUAGACGGGGACCCGCACAAGCGGUGGAGCGUGUUGUUUAAUUCGACGGUAAACGAAGAACCUUACCCAGGCUUGACAUCCUGCCAAGUUUUGCGAAAGCAAAAUGUGCCUUCGGGCCGCAGUGACAGGUGAUGCAUGGCCGUCGUCAGCUCGUGUCGUGAGAUGUUAGGUUAAGUCCUUCAACGAGCGCAACCCUUGUAGUUAGUUGAAUUUUUCUAGCUAGACUGCCCCGGUAACGGGGAGGAAGGAGGGGAUGAUGUCAGGUCAUUAUUUCCCUUACGUCUGGGGCUACAAACACGCUACAAUGGCCGGUACAAAGGGCAGCCAACCCGCGAGGGGGAGCAAAUCCCAUCAAAGCCGGUCUCAGUUCGGAUUGUAGGCUGAAACUCGCCUGCAUGAAGCUGGAAUCGCUAGUAACGGUAGGUCAGCUAUACUACCGUGAAUACGUUCCCGGGUCUUGCACACACCGCCCGU